AGCCAUGGCGGCUGACAGCUGACAGUCCGUGAAACGCGUAUCGAGAGAUUGCGAAACUGACUGUCGCGGAAAGGACGUAGGACGUGCGGAGAAAAAAAUGAGAGAUAUGCACCUGAGGAUGUGCUUAGCUAGGAUAAAAUGAGUAUCGUCUAAGAUCCACAAGGAAGCAGCUCGACUGUCCACAUUCCCACGAGCGACUUCUUUAAUAGAUCGGCACAACCUUGUCCUCGCCGCAUUCUAUCGUCCCGUUAUCACCCGUCGGAAAAGCGUUAGAAAUAUCAUUUGAAGUAUAGCACGAUCGGAAUAAACCGUUUCGAGUGCAAGUGAGUAUCCUGAAAUCGCUGAGAAGAGACUCGAGAGAAACAUCGGGCACCAGCGAAACAG